ACUUUUGUGGUGUAGUUGGUAGCGCCUUCGCUUAAUAAUUACAAGUCCUAGGUUCAAUUCCAGGUAGAGGUA